rnacentral:rRNA from 1 species
UACGUAGGGUGCAAGCGUUGUCCGGAAUCAUUGGGCGUAAAGCGCGCGUAGGUGGCUUCGUAAGUCCGUUGUGAAAGUCAAAGGCUCAACCUUUGAAUGCCGAUGGAUACUGCGAAGCUAGAGUACGGAAGGGGCGAGUGGAAUUCCUGGUGUAGCGGUGAAAUGCGCAGAUAUCAGGAGGAACACCAUGGCGAAGGCAGCUCGCUGGGACGUGACUGACGCUGAGACGCGAAAGCGUGGGGAGCAAACAGG